rfam:Triticum aestivum genome assembly, contig: Triticum_aestivum_CS42_TGACv1_scaffold_158185_2DL
GAGCUACUCCCUCCGUUCGGAAUUACUUGUCUCGGAAAUGGAUGUAUCCAAAACUAAAAUACGUCUAAAUACAUCCAUUUUUGUGACAAGUAAAUCCGAACGGAGGGAGUAGAAA